rnacentral:rRNA from 1 species
UACGUAGGGUGCAAGCAUUGUCCGGAUUUAUUGGGCGUAAAGAGCUCGUAGGCGGUUUGUCGCGUCGGAUGUGAAACCUCGGGGCUCAACCCCGAGCCUGCAUUCGAUACGGACAGACUAGAGUGUUGCAGGGGAGACUGGAAUUCCUGGUGUAGCGGUGAAAUGCGCAGAUAUCAGGAGGAACACCGGUGGCGAAGGCGGGUCUCUGGGCAACAACUGACGCUGAGGAGCGAAAGCGUGGGGAGCGAACAGG